rnacentral:rRNA from 1 species
GACGAACCGUGCGACCGUUGUUCGGAAUCACUGGGCUUAAAGGGCGCGUGGGCGGUUCUGCCAGUCCGGGGUGAAAGCCCCCAGCUCAACUGGGGAAGUGCCUUGGAAACUGCGGGUCUUGAGGGAGGUAGGGGCAUGUGGAACUUCGGGUGGAGCGGUGAAAUGCGUUGAUAUCCGAAGGAACGCCGGUGGCGAAAGCGACGGGCUGGAUCGCUUCUGACGCUGAGGCGCGAAAGCUAGGGUAGCGAACGGG